UACGAAGGGGGCUAGCGUUGCUCGGAAUCACUGGGCGUAAAGGGUGCGUAGGCGGGUCUUUUAAGUCAGGGUGAAAUCCUGGAGCUCAACUCCAGAACUGCCUUUGAUACUGAAGAUCUUGAGUUCGGGAGAGGUGAGUGGAACUGCGAGUGUAGAGGUGAAAUUCGUAGAUAUUCGCAAGAACACCAGUGGCGAAGGCGGCUCACUGGCCCGAUACUGACGCUGAGGCACGAAAGCGUGGGAGCAAACAGGG
rnacentral:rRNA from 1 species